UUCACAGAACAAUGCACAUUGAAAUGACAUUACACGCAGGAGGAAACUGUUUACUAAUUAGGUGAUUUUCUUCAUGCUUGCAGAACAGGACCAAAGAGCAGAGAGAGAAAGAGGAAGUCCAAACCAUGUCUUCCACUGAUCAUAAACGGAUCACAAACAGGAGAAAAAACUAAAUGACUCUAAAAACUGCGAGGGGAGACCUGCUGUUUUCCAACUAUGAAUAAUUGAUUUCUUGUGGAUAAUAAGACACAAAAACUGCAAGAUUCUGAGUUUCCUGCAGUCUCACUGGAAGAGGAAACAUCAGUUUGGAAAGGAAUGGCAUCUAGACUGCUGCAAACACAGCGAGCAUUGUGCACAAAAAUAUCUGUGCUGUAAAAACGCUCAUCAGAUGAAUGCAGUGUUCUCAAUCAAGCAGAAAUGCUUUAUUAAAUUAAGAUAAUUUUUUGCGUCA